rnacentral:rRNA from 1 species
GAUGAACGCUGGCGGCGUGCCUAAUACAUGCAAGUCGAACGAACAGAGAAGGAGCUUGCUCCUCUGACGUUAGCGGCGGACGGGUGAGUAACACGUGUAUAACCUACCUAUAAGACUGGGAUAACUUCGGGAAACCGGAUCUAAUACCGGAUAAUAUAUUGAACCGCAUGGUUCAAUAGUGAAAUGCGGUUUUGCUGGCACUUAUCGCUGGAUCCGGGCCGCAGUAGCUAGUUGGUAAGGUAACGGCUUACCAAGGCAACGAUGCGUAGCCGACGUGAGAGGGUGAUAGGCGACCUUGGAACUGGGCCACGGACAAGACUACUAAGAGAGGCAGCAGAAGGGAAUCUUACGCAACGGGCGAAAGCAUGACGGAGCAACGGCGAGUGAGUGACGACGGUGCUCGGAGCGUAAAAACGUGUUAUUAGUGAAGAACAAAUGUGUACGUAAAUAUGCACGUAUUGACGGUACCUAAUCAGAAAGCAACGGCUAACUACGUG